rnacentral:rRNA from 1 species
GAUGAACGCUGGCGGCGUGCCUAAUACAUGCAAGUCGAGCGAAGGAGGGACAGGUGAGUACCGCUGGGAUAACCUCCUAUACGACUGGAAUAACUUCGGGAAACCGUAGCUAAACCGGCUACUUCUAUGUAGCUCCGCGCUGCAUUAGCUAGUUAGUAAGUUAACGGCUUACCAAGGCAUAGAUGCAUAGCCGACCUGAGAGGGUUAUCGGCCAACACGGAAAUGAGAACAGGUCCAGACUCCUACGGGAGGCAGCAGGAGGGAAUCUUCCGGCAUUGGCGAAAGCCUGAAGCAGCCAAGCCGGGGGAGUGAUGAAGGUUUUCGGAUCGUAAAACCCGUUUAUUAGGGAAGCGGUACUUAAACAGAAAGGCAAGGCUAACUACGUGCCAACAGCCGCGGUAAUUC